rnacentral:rRNA from 2 species
GUGCGAGACCGAUAGCGAACAAGUACCGUGAGGGAAAGAUGAAAAGAACUUUGAAAAGAGAGUUAAAGAGUACCUGAAACUGCUGAAAGGGAAUCGAAUCGUUUCCAGUGUCUAUAAUCUGUGGCAUAUUUCAUUGGCGAGUGUGUGCGUGCAUUGUUUUGGAAGCAGUUUUCUGUUCCUGGCUGUGUUGUGCAUAUGCUUGCUGGUGCCCUGUGUCGCGGUGGGACGUCAGAGUCAAUUCGUAAGUUGCGGGAAAUGGCUGUUGGGGAGGUAGGUCACUUCGGUGGCUGUUAUAUCCUGAUAGCUAGUAGUCGUGGCUGGGAUUGAGGUGCCUACAACGUGCUUUCGAGUGUCUGGGUGUCUCGUUUGGCUGUUUGCCUUGAUAGCUUGCUAUGCUGGUGAAUAUGUUGGGCGAUUGAGAUCUGUAGUAACUUGUUGCUGUUCGGGACUUUG